rnacentral:rRNA from 1 species
UACGUAGGUGGCAAGCGUUGUCCGGAAUUAUUGGGCGUAAAGCGCGCGCAGGCGGUCCUUUAAGUCUGAUGUGAAAGCCCACGGCUCAACCGUGGAGGGUCAUUGGAAACUGGGGGACUUGAGUACAGAAGAGAAGAGUGGAAUUCCACGUGUAGCGGUGAAAUGCGCAGAUAUCGGGAAGAACACCCGUGGCGAGGGCGGCUCUCUGGGACGGUACUGACGCUGAGACGCGAAAGCGUGGGGAGCGAACAGG